rnacentral:tRNA from 1 species
AGCACGGUGGCGCAGAGGGAGCGCACAGGGCUCAUAACCCUGGGGUCGAUGGAUCGAAACCAUCCCGUGCUA